CCUACGGGGUGCAGCAGUGAGGAAUAUUGGUCAAUGGACGAGAGUCUGAACCAGCCAAGUAGCGUGAAGGAUGACUGCCCUAUGGGUUGUAAACUUCUUUUAUAUGGGAAUAAAAUGUUCCACGUGUGGGAUUUUGUAUGUACCAUAUGAAUAAGGAUCGGCUAACUCCGUGCCAGCAGCCGCGGUAAUACGGAGGAUCCGAGCGUUAUCCGGAUUUAUUGGGUUUAAAGGGAGCGUAGGUGGAUUGUUAAGUCAGUUGUGAAAGUUUGCGGCUCAACCGUAAAAUUGCAGUUGAAACUGGCAGUCUUGAGUACAGUAGAGGUGGGCGGAAUUCGUGGUGUAGCGGUGAAAUGCUUAGAUAUCACGAAGAACUCCGAUUGCGAAGGCAGUUCACUGGACUGCAACUGACUCUGAGGCUCGAAAGUGUGGGUAUCAAACAGGAUUAGAUACCCGGGUAGUC
rnacentral:rRNA from 1 species